GAUGAACGCUGACAGAAUGCUUAACACAUGCAAGUCAACUUGAACUUCGGUUUGGGUGGCGGACGGGUGAGUCACGCGUAAAGAACUUGCCUCACAGAUAGGGACAACAUUUGGAAACGAAUGCUAAUACCUGAUAUUAUGAUUUUAGGGCAUCCUAGGGUUAUGAAAGCUAUAUGCGCUGUGAGAGAGCUUUGCGUCCCAUUAGCUAGUUGGAGAGGUAACGGCUCACCAAGGCGAUGAUGGGUAGCCGGCCUGAGAGGGUGAUCGGCCACAAGGGGACUGAGACACGGCCCUUACUCCUACGGGAGGCAGCAGUGGGGAAUAUUGGACAAUGGACCAAGAGUCUGAUCCAGCAAUUCUGUGUGCACGAUGAAGCUUUUCGGAAUGUAAAGUGCUUUCAGUUGGGAAGAAAAAAAUGACGGUACCAACAGAAGAAGUGACGGCUAAAUACGUG
rnacentral:rRNA from 1 species